rnacentral:rRNA from 1 species
GAGGAAUAUUGCGCAAUGGAGGCAACUCUGACGCAGCCAUGCCGCGUGAAGGAGUGAAGGUCCUAUGGAUUGUAAACUUCUUUUGUACGGGAAAAAACCCCUGGUCUUGACCGGGGCUGAUGGUACCGUAAGAAUAAGGACCGGCUAACUCCGUGCCAGCAGCCGCGGUAAUACGGAGGGUGCAAGCGUUAUCCGGAUUUAUUGGGUCUAAAGGGUCCGUAGGCGGAUCGUUAAGUCAGCGGUGAAAGCCCACAGCUCAACUGUGGAAUUGCCGUUGAUACUGGCGAUCUUGAGUGCAAGUGAAGUUGGCGGAAUGUGCGGUGUAGCGGUGAAAUGCUUAGAUAUCGCACAGAACACCUAUUGCGAAGGCAGCUGGCUAAUUUGCAACUGACGCUGAGGGACGAAAGCGUGGGGAUCAAAC